AAAAGCAGUUCGACCAGUUCAUGAAUGUUCUCCAGUCACUUUGUGCGUCACUGCUACAUAUUUUCUGAUAUUUCCUGGUCAGAUGAUCAUUGUUGUGAUGACUGGAUACCAGGUUUGAUGCCUCUCCAUGGAUUUAAAUGAACAAAUAGAAGUAUAGGGAUACUAAAAAAGAAAUAAAUAUUUACAGAGCUCUGUCAACUCAUACAAGUUUUGAGACGUGGAUUUAGCUCUUGUGCAUUCAGUCUCCUCUGAAACUUGAGAAAUGACAAGAAAACAAAUAGAAAUGGCAGCAGAAAAUGCAACUGAAAAGAAUGAAAUGCAGAGAAUGGAAGCUGUACUGAGAAAUGCAGUCAAACCUGCACAGCAGGAAAAACCAACAAAGAGAGGAACAGAAAAUGCCUGUGGAUUCAGAGAACAUCUAACAGUGUGCAAGACAGACAGCAAUAAAGAAUUUCCACCAAACUUCUCUCUUGAUCAAGAAAUAUUAAGAAAGACCUGCAAGUCAUUCUGAUGCGACAGAGAUAUUCAAAGAAGAGGUAAGAAAAUCCAACUCGUACU
ensembl:lncRNA uncharacterized LOC109076486